UACAGAGGGUGCAAGCGUUAAUCGGAAUUACUGGGCGUAAAGCGAGCGUAGUCGGUUAUCUAAGUCGGGUGUGAAAUCCCCGGGCUCAACCUGGGAAUUGCAUUCGAUACUGGAUAGCUAGAGUUCGGCAGAGGGAAGCGGAAUUUCCGGUGUAGCGGUGAAAUGCGUAGAUAUCGGAAGGAACAUCAGUGGCGAAAGCGGCUUCCUGGACCAGAACUGACGAUCAGGCUCGAAAGCGUGGGGAGCAAACAGG
rnacentral:rRNA from 1 species